UAGCAAUACUCCCGCCGGCGACCGGCGCACGGGUGAGUAACACGUAUGGAACCUGCCCGCAGCAGGGGGAUAAUCGGGGGAAACCCCGUCUAAUACCGCGUAACGACCCGGAGGGGCAUCCCUUCGGGUCCAAAGGUUUACCGGCUGCGGAUGGCCAUGCGUCGCAUUAGCUUGUUGGCGGGGUAACGGCCCACCAAGGCGACGAUGCGUAGGGGUUCUGAGAGGAAGGUCCCCCACACUGGUACUGAGACACGGACCAGACUCCUACGGAAGGCAGCAG
rnacentral:rRNA from 1 species